rnacentral:rRNA from 1 species
UAGGGAAUCUUCGGCAAUGGACGAAAGUCUGACCGAGCAACGCCGCGUGAGUGAAGAAGGUUUUCGGAUCGUAAAACUCUGUUGUUAGAGAAGAACAAGGACGUCAGUAACUGAACGUCCCCUGACGGUAUCUAACCAGAAAGCCACGGCUAACUACGUGCCAGCAGCCGCGGUAAUACGUAGGUGGCAAGCGUUGUCCGGAUUUAUUGGGCGUAAAGCGAGCGCAGGCGGUUUCUUAAGUCUGAUGUGAAAGCCCCCGGCUCAACCGGGGAGGGUCAUUGGAAACUGGGAGACUUGAGUGCAGAAGAGGAGAGUGGAAUUCCAUGUGUAGCGGUGAAAUGCGUAGAUAUAUGGGGGAACACCAGUGGCGAAGGCGGCUCUCUGGUCUGUAACUGACGCUGAGGCUCGAGAGCGUGGGGAGCAAACAGG